rnacentral:rRNA from 1 species
CCUACGGGAGGCAGCAGUGAGGAAUAUUGGUCAAUGGGCGCAAGCCUGAACCAGCCAAGUCGCGUGAGGGAUUAAGGCCCUGCGGGUUGUAAACCUCUUUUGCCGGGGAGCAACGGUCGCGACGUGUGCGGACCGGGAGAGUACCCGGAGAAAAAGCAUCGGCUAACUCCGUGCCAGCAGCCGCGGUAAUACGGAGGAUGCGAGCGUUAUCCGGAUUUAUUGGGUUUAAAGGGUGCGUAGGCGGGCCUUUAAGCCGGCGGUCAAAUGUCGGGGCUCAACCCCGGCCCGCCGUUGAAACUGGGGGCCUUGAGUGGACGAGAAGUAUGCGGAAUGCGUGGUGUAGCGGUGAAAUGCAUAGAUAUCACGCAGAACCCCGAUUGCGAAGGCAGCAUACCGGCGCCCGACUGACGCUGAGGCACGAAAGUGCGGGUAUCGAACAGGAUUAGAUACCCGAGUAGUC